CCCGCUGAACUUAAGCAUAUCAGUAAGCGGAGGAAAAGAAACUAACUAGGAUUCCCUUAGUAACGGCGAGUGAACCGGGAACAGCUCAAAUUUGAAAUCUGGCAUCCCUUGAGGGUGUCCGAAUUGUAUUUGAAAGGGUCAUCUUGUGUUAACCAGGAGGGUCUAAGUCCUUUGGAAAAAGGCAUCAUAGAGGGUGAAAAUCCCGUCUGGACUCUCCAUGGAAGGCAGUAUCAAGGUGGCCUAACGAGUCGGAUUGUUUGGGAAUGCAGUCCUAAAUGGGUGAUACAUGUCAUCUAAAGCUAAAUAUAUGCAAGAGACCGAUAGCAAACAAGUACCGUGAGGGAAAGAUGAAAAGGACUUUGAAAAGAGAGUCAAAAGUACGUGAAAUUGUUAUAAGGGAAACGAAUCACACUGCUCCAGGACAAGUGUCUUCAGAGGUGCCCGAAAGGAUGCCUUGUAGUGACACUUGACCUAGUUGACCCUCCUUAGGGGUCUUGCAAAAGCGCCAUGGAAAGGUGGCUUCGCCUUCGGGAGAACGCUUUAUAGUCCAUGGAAGGUGGCAAGAUGCUUGAGGAGUCGGCGCUUGCCGAAGCAGAUGCUUAGGGCCUAGGGUCUCCUUGAGGGGCUCUUUGACCGAUGUGUCUUGGUCGACGCUGUAGUAUGAUCCGACCCGUCUUGAAACACGG
rnacentral:rRNA from 1 species